UACGGGGGGAGCAAGCGUUGUUCGGAUUUACUGGGCGUAAAGCGCGCGUAGGCGGCUUUGCAAGUCGGGUGUGAAAUCCCCAGGCUUAACCUGGGAACUGCAUUCGAGACUGCAUUGCUAGAGUAUGGGAGAGGGAAGUGGAAUUCCGGUGUAGCGGUGAAAUGCGCAGAUAUCAGGAGGAACACCAGCGGCGAAGGCGCUGCUCUGGGCCGGUACUGACGCUGAGGAGCGAAAGCGUGGGGAGCGAACAGG
rnacentral:rRNA from 1 species